UGGGGAAUUUUGGACAAUGGGCGCAAGCCUGAUCCAGCAAUGCCGCGUGCAGGAUGAAGGCCUUCGGGUUGUAAACUGCUUUUGUACGGAACGAAAAGCCUCUCUCUAAUACAGGGGGGUGAUGACGGUACCGUAAGAAUAAGCACCGGCUAACUACGUGCCAGCAGCCGCGGUAAUACGUAGGGUGCAAGCGUUAAUCGGAAUUACUGGGCGUAAAGCGUGCGCAGGCGGUUUUGUAAGACAGUGGUGAAAUCCCCGGGCUCAACCUGGGAACUGCCAUUGUGACUGCAAGGCUGGAGUGCGGCAGAGGGGGGAUGGAAUUCCGCGUGUAGCAGUGAAAUGCGUAGAUAUGCGGAGGAACACCGAUGGCGAAGGCAAUCCCCUGGGCCUGCACUGACGCUCAUGCACGAAAGCGUGGGGAGCAAACAGGAUUAGAUA
rnacentral:rRNA from 1 species